GAUUCCAGUCUAAUGCAUGUUUUGAUGAAUAAGAUGUAAGUUGUGUAAAUAGUAGUGUGGAGACCUCAGAGCAACACUUAAUUUCAUGACCAACAGCGAUAAGAUGGUACUAUUAGUAAGCCAUACUUAAUGAUCAACACUACUCAUAUUAUCAUAUAGAGGACAGAGUAGGCAAAUGGUUGAGGACACUAUUGCUAAACAUAAAGCCAAGCCUCCAGGUGUUGUGUAUAUCAAUCAGUCCACUGGAGAUAUAUCAAUCUUUUAAUAAAUUAUAAGGUCCCCACUGCUUGAUACUUCACCAAAUACUGGCUACACCAGAAAAUGACUAAAUGUUCUUAACACUUAACAACUACCACAAGCAUUACUUCUGGGUCACUCUGAAGGGUCUAAUCGUUCAAUUACUGAAUUGAUAAAGUUGAUGAAAUUGCUCAAAAAUUGUCUGGCACCUUCUUAACUCAGAGACAUAGGAAUGUGGAUGGAUUAUGACAUACCUUGCACAAAUCAACAACCAGGCUUUUAUUGGAUUUGAAUCCCAAAGGAAAGAGAAAGUUUGUUAUCCAAAACAAACAUGGAAAAUAUCAGAAACCAACAAAACACAAGCAGGCAGAGUGUUAUGGACACAACUUUGGGGAAUCUCCUAAAACCAAGUAUAAAAAUAGAGAGGUGUGGUUGUGUCUCUCAGCUCCACAAGGGUCCACAAGAAUGAGGACAACAGUGAUUUUCGUAAUAAUUUUAGAUCAGAUUUAAAAAAAAAAAAUUUGAUCAGAUGGAUCAGGUUAACAGUUUAAUACAUAUUGCAUUUAAGUGCUUAACGAAAAGAAAAGAUGCUCUUACCAAAAUAGUCUAAGAAAAAUGCUGAUUUUAAAUUAAUAAAUUGUU